UCCCGCCCCCGCUUCCCCGCCUCAGCUUGUUGCUGGGGCCGAGCCCGCGGCGCUGCAGGAAGGAGCUUCCCCCGCUCGCGCCCGCGCCCCGACCGCCCGCCCUAGCCGCCCGGGCCAGUCGAAAGCGGCCUUGUCCCAGCCGUGCAGCCCGGGGCGGGGCUGCUCCCGGGAGGAAGGCUUCAGGCUGGGCUUCGCUGGGCACCCGAGCCGCAGCCUUCAGAGCCCAAGUCCUGGUUUCCGUCCCGGCCGCCGGGCUCAUGGCCUUCCUCCACAAAGUCCCGAAGCAAAGCCACAGCGAGCAAAGGGACGGAAGCGGAUGGGGUAUGCCAAAGGUCCUGCCAGACAACCUCUCCACAGACUUGCGAGAAAAGUACGGAAAUAAUCUGUAAUGAAAUAAGACAGGAGUUUUACAAGCACAGCACAGAAGGGGCAACCCAUUGAGGAGUCAGAACCAGGUGCGUUAAACCACAUUUCUGCCCUCAAGAUACUGCGCUGCUUUGAAGACCCCAAAUACCAGUUAGGCUGCCUGUGGGCCCAGAGCCGCCUAGAGCCCCUACAGCAGCACGCUACAGACUCCUCUUGCCAUCUCUGCAAAUGCCCUCACUCCCAAGACAAGACAGUGUUGCAGGAUAGAGCUGUUUAUGGUGGCAGUACUCUGUUUCCACCACAAAGUUCAUAGGAGGUCCUAGAAUCAGGGAACAGAUAUUUUCCUUUUAUUAGCAAUAGCAACCAGUAUGAAUUGGCAUUCUCUGAAAAUAAGGAUCCAUUUCUGAGGCUGGGACAAAAUACAAAAACUCUCUGCAUAGUAUAAAUGCUGGCUCUCAAAUUAAUUUCAGUAUAGACUGUCACAUGGAUGUUAUUCUACCCUUCCAAAUUUGUUAUCAUGUAAACCCCUACAGCUUGCAUUCAUGACUAUUUAGGAUCUCUAUAGAACACCACUAUUAGGAGCAUACUUUUAGCAGUCUUGACCAUGCAAUUCAGCUAUUAAGAAUGAGGUAGAAGAGUCAGAACCUUGUGAUGAGCCAGUUCUGUGUUAACCACAAGUAAGAACCCCUUAUCCAUGAAAGCAAAAUGCCAUUUUUGACAAUGUUCAGAUCUGAUUCCAACUGCUAGGUGCUAGAUCACUCUCUGGUAUAAAUACUGAAACACUGACCAGGGGAACAGUAUUUCACUCAAAUUAUCCUGAAAUAAUUUCCAAUUUUAUUUUAACUAGUUUUGGGUAGCACAGUUCCCAGCCCAAUGUAAAUGAAGCCUCAGAGUUAUGCUGCCAGAAAGCAGUAUUCUUUCUUCAACAUUUAUGUUGCCAUGGCUCCCAGUCAGUAUAAGCUCAAAUAGUUGAGGGCAGUCACCUCUGGCCCAGGUAAGCAAUUAUUAUUUCCCAAUACUUUUAAUGGUCCAACAUCACUGUACAUGAAUCCAUUAUAAAAGCUAAUGAUUAAUAUCACUCAGGAAAGACCCAGAUAUCAGUCCUGUUAUUUAUUUUAUAUUGAUACUUACUGACUUGUAGACAGGUUAAAAUUAAUGAGACAAAUGCAGAGAUCCUAACUCCCACUGGAUUCAGCAGGAGUUUUGUCGUUGUAAGGAAGGACCACAAGGUUUGGCUCUAACUGCCUAGCUGCAUUACAUGUGCCUGGUUAAGUAUUUUCUUUUGCACAUAGCUACUUUUCCCCACAAAUAAAUUCAAAUAGUAACAAUGGGUGCAUCUACAUGAGACAUUUACUGUGGAGUUGCCUAAUUUGCUCCACAGUAAAGUCACCACAUCUACAUGUGUGGCCCUAUUAUGGCAUAGUUAAUUAGUUUACUGUGGCCUAAGUUAAUAUAUGUAUAUACAAGUACCAUACUGUGGCAGUGUUCUUUAAUGCAUAGCAAUGCAUGUGUAGACACUGACACAGCUGGCUAGGACACGAGGGUGUUUCAGUGUGGUGGCUGCCUGUUGGCUAGCCCUGCACUGGAGCACACUUGUGCCCCAUCCAGCCUCUCCGCAGCAUGUUGAGCUGAGUCGGAGCAGCCCCAGGCUGGCAGGCCGCCUGCCCCCCUCACCCCCAGACCCCAUGCCACCUGGGGCUGCUCUGACUAGGUUCUAUGUGCUGUGGUCCUGGGUGCACAUGUAAAUGUGGCACCUGGGAGCAAUAAACUCUGGUGUGAUAAGCACUGGAGUUUAUUUGUCUCUCAUUAAUUGCACAUGUAGACACACCCAGCAUGUAUAUAAUAGAAAAUGUCAACUACAAUUUGAAUGUGCUCAGAGGCUGUACUUAGAAACAGACAGUUUCUUCAGAAGGGGCCUCUUCAUCUUGAAAGGACAGGUUUAACGUCACAGACAGCCACCAGUGAGGAUACAGAAAAUAUCAGCAAUAUCAGAGCUAAAAAUCUCUGGACGCAAUAUAAACUUCUGAUGUGCUUUCUUGUAUGGUUCAGUCUUAAUGAGCAAAUUCAGAAAGAAAAAGUAAAAGAAAUACAGGGAAACUGACUCAACUGCAAUUAAGCCUAAAGCCCGACAACCUGUUGUUCUUUUGAUAUUCAGCAUAUCACUAUAGAUUUGGAGGAUGCCUUCAUUUUUUGGAAGUUGUGACUGAUGAUCUCUGCUGAGGUCAAAAGGUCUAAGAUCAGUGCUUCUCAGGCUUUUUGUGUUGGCAAUCCCCUAUUCAAAAGUAAAAACACUUUCACAACCCCCUAUUAAAGUAAGAGUUAAUUAUGUAUCAACAAGAAGCCUAAAUCAUUUAUUUGUGAACAUACAUGUUUUGAGAAGCUGACAGAAAAUAGUACCAGUGUAUGGUAGGUGGGGAAAAUGAGAUUUUCUUUGAUUUAGAUUGUAAUAAAAUUUUCAGUACCUCACAAUCACUUAAGUUCCUUAAGCUCCAUGGGCAUCACAAGCCAGUGGCUAAAAACCCCUUAUUUAUAUAACCUACUCCAGUUCCUUCAGAAUGUCAACAAAAAUGUGCAUGUGUACACAUACCCCCCCAAACAGCAGCCAUUUACCAAGUAUAAAUAAAAAUCUAAGAGCACAUAGUUUCAUAGUUGGUAGGGUCGGAAGGGACCUGAGCAGAUCAUCAAGUCCAACCCCCUGCCAUGGCAGGAAAAAGUACUGGGGGCAAACAACCCCAGCGAGGUGUUUGUCUAACCUCCUCUUAAAGACCCCCAGGGUAGGAGCCAGCACCACUUCGCUUGGAAGUUGGUUCCAAAUCCUAGCUGCCCUGACUGUGAAGUAGCGCCUCCUGACGUCUAGUCUGAAUCUACCCUCUGCCAGCUUGUGACCAUUAUUUCUAGUCACUCCUGGUAGCUCUCAGGGGAACAGGGACUCCCCCAAUGCCUGCUGGUCCCCUCUGAUUAGUUUGUAACAGGCCAGUAGAUCCCCCUGUACCAGAAAGCCCCCUUUUCCUCUUGCCUGCAGUUGCUCUCCCCUCCUUGGAUAUGUUUUUCCUCUUCUACCUUUUCUUCCUUCCUCUUUCUUUCACUUUAAGAUAAGGAAUUGUGUUUUGAAAUUUGUAUGUGUGCAUUUUGUCUCUCACCUUGUAUUUUGGUAUUUUUAUCUAUUUGUGUGCCAUGGCAUUACAUUUGUAGCUUAUAUUUUAUAUUCCUCACCUUUCAACUUUCAACUAAAUGUGUUUAGUUUCAUAAAUAAGUUAUACAUUGUAAUAAUGUUAACAAGGGCAGGAAUCAAACUGCCCUUCCCUGUAUCAGGCUGGCCCCUGAAAGAGCGAGUGAAUCAGUGAUUGAAUGUGUAACAGGCAGCAAUUAACACCUAAGAAAACUGCAGAUCAACCAAUGGAAGAACUCAAUAGAAGACAAUGUAACAACCGGGAAAUCUCUAAACCUCACUGAUCAAGGGCUAGAAGCCCUGGCUUGAGUUAAUCAACGCCAGGGACCAACUUUUGGGCUGAAUAUCUCCCAAUUGACCGCUCCCAGAGCCCUAUUCAAAAUUCAUCAAUGGACUCCCAAACCUGCACGUACAUGCGGACAACCCCUGGGGCUGACAGAUGCCAUCCAGUAGCCACCGAGGGGGGAAGUCCCAUGAGGGUCAAUGACCCCUGGAUUGGGCAAACCUGAAAACUGGAAAGUCACCAAAGUCUGCCAAGGACAGAUAAAAGGCAGUGAAAAGUGACCCUCAGUGGCACCCUCUUGAUCUCCAACUUGACCCAACCUGUCCAGCCAGAAGGACCAGCCAGCGACCCCCUUCUGGAAGAUAACACCAUGCUGAAAGAAGCCUCAACGACAGACUCCAGCGCUUGUAGGAUAGGUAUACCUCACUCUUGUAGCUUGCUACUGUGUGUGUGUGUGUGUGUGUGUGUGUGUGUGUGUGUGGAAGGACCAGCCCCAAGGUUUAUGAUUUAACUCAUUACAGUGUUUCAAUCCGCCUAAUAAACCAGAAUUUUAAGUA